rnacentral:lncRNA from 1 species
AAAAAGGGUGGAAAAGUUCCUUUUUUUAUAAAAAAAAGAAGAGAAUCGUUGGAUUUAUGACAAAUGUCCUAACUUCGUGAUGAGAGAAAAAUGAUGACAUCAUCUUUAUGUCAUCCACAUCAGUCGGCCAAGGAGGAGGCACAAAUCCCAAGAGGGUGACAUACGUGGCUCGAGGUACCGCAUAUGCAGGCUACUCUACGCACUCAGAUAGUGCGUUGACGCGCGUGUAGGGUGAGGUCCGCAUGCACGUAGGCCAUCCUGUGCGGGAUCUGCAUGCUAGGCAGGUGUUGAGCAGCACGCUUGACGUGCACAUCUGUGUGCAGAUUGGGUGCGGCACGGGUGCCCUGGCCAAUGGGAUGUAUGCCUGCACACACGUCCA